GGGCCUGUAGUUCAGUGGUAGAACCGGCCGCUCAUAACGGUCUUGUCGGGGGUUCAAUUCCCUCUGGGCCCACCA
rnacentral:tRNA from 1 species